rnacentral:rRNA from 1 species
UCAAGCGUCUUAAGGGCAUCUGGUGGAUGCCUUGGCACUGAGAGGCGAUGAAGGACGUAGCACGUUGCGAUAAGCUGUGGGGAGCCGCGAGCAGGCAGUGAUCCGCAGAUUUCCGAAUGGGGAAACCCACCCCUUAGGGGGUAUCCCAAACUGAAUUCAUAGGUUUGGGAAGCGAACCCGGCGAACUGAAACAUCUAAGUAGCCGGAGGAAAGGACAUCAACCGAGACUCCGCUAGUAGUGGCGAGCGAACGCGGACCAGGCCAGUGAUCAACUCUACAUAACCGGAACCGUCUGGAAAGGCGGGCCAGAGCGGGUGAUAGCCCCGUACGGGUAAACCGGAGUUGAUCCUCGAGUAGGGCGGGGCACGUGAAACCCUGUCUGAACGUGGGGGGACCACCCUCCAAGCCUAAGUACUCCUCAGUGACCGAUAGUGAACCAGUACCGUGAGGGAAAGGUGAAAAGCACCCCGACGAGGGGAGUGAAACAGUUCCUGAAACCGGAUGCCUACAAGCAGUCGGAGCUUCCUUGCGAAGUGACGGCGUACCUUUUGUAUAAUGGGUCAGCGACUUACAGUAUGCAGCAAGCUUAAGCCGGUAGGCGAAGGCGCAGCGAAAGCGAGUCUGAACAGGGCGAUUGAGUUGCAUGCUGUAGACCCGAAACCUGAUGAUCUAUCCAUGGCCAGGUUGAAGGUGGGGUAACACCCACUGGAGGACCGAACCCACGCCCGUUGAAAAGGUCGGGGAUGAGCUGUGGAUAGGGGUGAAAGGCCAAUCAAAUCAGGAAAUAGCUGGUUCUCCGCGAAAGCUAUUUAGGUAGCGCGUCGGACGGUUGCUCCUGGGGGUAGAGCACUGGAUGGGCUAGGGGGGCGCGAGCCUUACCAAACCUAACCAAACUCCGAAUACCAGGAAGUAUAGUCCGGCAGACAGACGGUGGGUGCUAACGUCCAUCGUCAAGAGGGAAACAACCCAGACCACCAGCUAAGGCCCCCAAAUGAUGGCUAAGUGGGAAAGGAUGUGGGAAGGCCAUGACAACCAGGAGGUUGGCUUAGAAGCAGCCAUCCUUUAAAGAAAGCGUAAUAGCUCACUGGUCGAGUCGUCCUGCGCGGAAGAUGUAACGGGGCUCAAGCCAAUAACCGAAGCUGCGGAUGCACAGCAAUGUGCGUGGUAGGGGAGCGUUCUGUAGGUCUGUGAAGGUGUCUCGUAAGGGAUGCUGGAGAUAUCAGAAGUGCGAAUGCUGACAUGAGUAGCGAUAAAGCGUGUGAAAAGCACGCUCGCCGAAAGCCCAAGGUUUCCUGCGCAACGUUCAUCGGCGCAGGGUGAGUCGGCCCCUAAGGCGAGGCCGAAAGGCGUAGUCGAUGGGAAACGGGUCAAUAUUCCCGUACCGAUCACAGAUGCGAUGGGGGGACGGAGAAGGUUAGCUCAGCCGGGUGUUGGACGUCCCGGUUUAAGCGUGUAGGCGUGCUGCAUAGGCAAAUCCGUGCGGCUUAGCUGAGGCGUGAUGACGAGUCCCUUUUAGGGACGAAGUGAGUGAUACCCUGCUUCCAGGAAAAGCCUCUAAGCUUCAGUCUGUGAUUGACCGUACCGCAAACCGACACAGGUGGGCAGGAUGAAAAUUCUAAGGCGCUUGAGAGAACCCAGGAGAAGGAACUCGGCAAAUUGACACCGUAACUUCGGGAGAAGGUGUGCCCCGGUAGCGUGUAGUGGCUUGCCCACGAAGCGUGAUGGGGUCGCAGAGAAUAGGUGGCUGCGACUGUUUAACAAAAACACAGCACUCUGCAAAGUCGAAAGACGACGUAUAGGGUGUGACGCCUGCCCGGUGCCGGAAGGUUAAGUGAUGGGGUGCAAGCUCUUGAUCGAAGCCCCGGUAAACGGCGGCCGUAACUAUAACGGUCCUAAGGUAGCGAAAUUCCUUGUCGGGUAAGUUCCGACCUGCACGAAUGGCGUAACGAUGGCCACACUGUCUCCUCUUGGGACUCAGCGAAGUUGAAAUGUUUGUGAAGAUGCAAUCUCCCCGCGGCUAGACGGAAAGACCCCAUGAACCUUUACUGUAGCUUUGCAUUGGACUUUGACGGGACUUGUGUAGGAUAGGUGGGAGGCGUUGAGAUGCGGUCGCCAGAUCGCAUGGAGCCAUCCUUGAAAUACCACCCUGGUGUCGUUGAGGUUCUAACCUGGCCCCCUGAAUCGGGGGUGGGGACCGUGCAUGGCAGGCAGUUUGACUGGGGCGGUCUCCUCCUAAAGGGUAACGGAGGAGUACGAAGGUCUCCUAGGUACGGUCGGACAUCGUACUGAUAGUGCAAUGGCAAAAGGAGGCUUGACUGCGAGACCCACAAGUCGAGCAGGUGCGAAAGCAGGUCAUAGUGAUCCGGUGGUUCUGUAUGGAAGGGCCAUCGCUCAACGGAUAAAAGGUACUCUGGGGAUAACAGGCUGAUUCCGCCCAAGAGUUCACAUCGACGGCGGAGUUUGGCACCUCGAUGUCGGCUCAUCACAUCCUGGGGCUGUAGCCGGUCCCAAGGGUAUGGCUGUUCGCCAUUUAAAGUGGUACGUGAGCUGGGUUCAAAACGUCGUGAGACAGUUUGGUCCCUAUCUGCCGUGGGCGCUGGAGAUUUGAGAGGGCCUGCUCCUAGUACGAGAGGACCGGAGUGGACGUACCUCUGGUGGACCGGUUGUGACGCCAGUCGCAUCGCCGGGUAGCUAAGUACGGAAGAGAUAAACGCUGAAAGCAUCUAAGCGUGAAACUCGCCUCAAGAUAAGAUCUCCCGGGGACUCGAUCCCCCUGAAGGGUCGCGGAAGACCACCGCGUUGAUAGGUCGGGUGUGGAAGCGCAGCAAUGCGUUAAGCUAACCGAUACUAAUUGCCCGUGCGGCUUGACCCU